GGUGGCGUGCCCGGUGUGCUGCGAUUCCUCGGCACCUCACAGUCCCCUGGCUGGGCGCUGGUGCUGAGGGUUGGAUGCGUGCGUGGAGCCCACAGUGGGGCCGUGUUUGCUGCUGUUUUCUGGAAAUGUUCAUCUGACUUCUGCUGGGGGACAUCUGUACUUACAACAGGAGUUUGUCAGCAAUGAGCCAUGUUUUAAGGUUGGUUGGGGAUUUUUUUGCCUGCAGAUGACAACUUUUUCUUAGGGAGGAUUGCCAGUCUCCUUUGCUCACAAGGUGCUGAGUGCUGGCACUGAAGGUAAAUCCAGCAAAGGGGGAGCAGGAGCCGAGGGAAGGACAGGACCAAACCUGGGAGCUGCUGGCUGUGGGUGCCUGGGGAAGCGCUCCGGCUGCUCUCCCCGUGCAGACGCUGCAGCGCAGCUCGGCCCCUGCUCGGCGUGGCCGGGACGGCUCCGUGCGCCCGUGCCUGGCAGACGGCGUUAUCGCUAUUAAUUGCUGCCGAGGUGUUCUGAGAUGCCAAAGAUAGGUCUGAGGAAGAGGCUGCGGAGAGCCUGCUGGCUCUGAACCUCGUGGCCAGGCGGGGGAAGGAGCCUGGUUUUGAUCACAUCGCUGUUUUGCAUCGCACGAUUGUGUUUUCUGUUUCCUUCUGGCCAGAGGCUGCAGCUUGUGCUCGUUUCCGAGCCCGUGCUCGGGCAGCCGCAGUUCUGUGUCUGAAGCACGCCCGGGGUGCUCGGGAGCUGUGGCUGCACUCGCAGGGUGCGCGAGGGGCCUCGGGCUGCAGAGCUGUGAAGGGGGGGCGACGGGACAGCUGGGCAGGGCCGCAGUCCAGCGCUUCUGCGGCACCUCGGUGGGUGCUGCACCAACACCUCUGUUGGGCUGCGGUUUCCUGCAUGGCUGUGGGUGCGGGGCUGGGCCGUGCAGCGAGGCUCUGGCCCCCCGGUGCCUCCUGGCCCCCCUCCGCGGGAUGCUCGGGGGCUCUUCUCGGUCAGGUCCCAGUCGGGAGCAAGUGGGAGCGAGCUGGGCGGGCAGCGGCACUGCUGCUCCAAGGGGCUUUCUGCAAUGUUGAAUCCUUGUGAGGAGUGGGCUCUGAUGGCAAUACAAACGCAAGAGCUGGAGCUAUCGCUAGAGAGCAGAAACCCUUCUCAAAGAUCAAAGCCAGAGCUGCCGUUAACGGUGCCUUGGCGGCGGUGCUGUGCUCCGCGUUAGCGCUCACGAGGAUUCGUCUUUCUGUGACUUCUUCCCUGUGCCAUCCGCGAGUGGCUUGGAGCUGCGGCCCCGGCGGUGGGUGGAGGCAUGCCCAGGGCAGAGGCAGCAUUUAUCUCGGUCUUGGUUCAUCUCCUGGUCUGUGCUGGGUUGUUUUGGGCUGGUUCUGCUGGCUCUGCAGGCGGGCGGCCCGGGAGCACAGCGGCGGUGCUGGUGCCUGUGGUGAAGCAAGCUGCUGAGGAGGGGUUUGCCCUGCGGGGAGGGCGCUGGCACUCGCCGUGCUUCAGCCCCCGCUGCUCCCUGCGCCCAGCUGCGGGACGCAGCAGAAGUGGGCUGGGGCUUCAGUGAAGCGCCGAGACCUGAUACAGGCCGUUCCCAGUGUCUCAAUGGACUUGUAUGAACUUCAGAGAAAUGGAUUAUAGUGCCAGCCCACCGAUAGGAAGAAGCCUGUCUGCCGCCUGGCUGCGCCUCUGGCUGUAAUUACAGCUACAGCUAAUUGCACACCGCGCUGCACAGCAUUGACAGGCGCUGUGUACGCUGCAUGGGAGAACUGAUACCACAAUAAAUGUGCUGUAAAGAUUCCUGUUCUGCUUUGCCGCAUGGUAUGUCCUCGGUGAAGAAAAUGAAGACAAAUCUGUUUGUUGAGCACCACGUUACUUAUUCUCAGUAUUGGCACAGAGCUGCGUGAGCCAUUUCUGCCCCCUUUGUUUCCAAGACUGCCUGGUUUAGAAGUAAGCAUUUGUAAAAAUCUCUCUCCGAUUAUAAAGUGGAAGGGCUGAGCAAUGCAGCUGGGACAGGGGAGCCACCACGCAGCGUCCCCACGGUGGGAGGAGGAUGUGGCCGUGGGUUCCGCCUGCUCCCAGGACCCGUCCAGCACCUCGGCACCAGCGCCGGGACGCGCUGCGGCGUUCUGCAGGCUUCUGCUUCUCGGUGGUCUCUGCAGGGCUGGGCUGGGUCUGAGCAGUUCUGGGCUCUGGGACUUCUGCAGCAGAUCCUCUCCUGCACAUUUUUUAGGGCAAUAAACAAGUCUCUUCUUCCCGUUUCUCUUUUGGCGAGCCAUUCCCUUGACCAUCCCGUGUGACCCAGAGGCGCAGACUUUCCUGUUCAGUGGAGCAGCCCAGGCUCAGAAGGGAGAGCUCUGGGGACACUGGGGCACCGAACUGGGGCUGCUCCUUCCCUGGGGCCGCCUCUGCCAGGCACGGCUCCCGAGGGAGAUGCUGAGGAGCAGAGCAGCGUUUUCUUUUAAAAUACAUGAUCCUAAACAGAUCCUCUUACCCCUAAUCUGUCCCUAAGACACGGCUCUCUCCUUCUUGCCAGAAAAACCUUUUAUGUGCAGACUGAUGUGAAUAGAAGAUAAGUCGGUAAUUCUUCAGUGUAUCUGCUUUAAAAAGAGGAUUGACUCUCAUCUCCUGCAGGGCCGGCAGCCAGGCAGAUGUUAAUUGGGCUUUAAUAUAGCGAACGUGGCUCUUGAGAAGACGGGCAGUCGGGCUCCUGCUCCUUGGGCUGCAAACGGCACCCGGGGCUGUUUGCAGGGUGGUGCUGAGCCCUGCCCGCGGUGCGGGUCCUGCCCUGAGCGGGGUCUGGUGUGCGGGGUGACCCUCAGGGGUGGCAGCUGCUGGGCGGGGCAGAUGGCAGGCAGCGAGGGACAGCCCCAGCGCUGUCUGUGGCGAGGUGCCGAGUUCGUGUGCUGAUGGCGGGGUCUACGCCCGGCUGGGGAGCGAGUGCUGGCCUGGUACCAUUUUGGAAAGGACCUCGGCAGCGGGGCUGAGCAGGCUGGCUCUGCUGCACACAGGGUGUGUGAGUCCUGGGGGAAAAAAAGGCAGAAGUUUCCAAUUUUAGCAGCAGAGUGCAUGCGCACGGUGCCGCUGAGGAGACUAAUCGCCUGUCCUGGCAGACAAAUGGCCGGGCUUGCCCUCCAAGCAGAAGAUUUAUGGGACGCUGCGGAGGCCACUGCUGCGGGGGCCUGGUGACUGCCCUGGUGUCCUGGCCUACCCGGGGGAUGUGCCAGGGCUGCGGGGAUGCUCGGGCACGGGACUGGCAGUGGCACAGCCUGGUGGACACCACCUGCCCAGCACCACACUGCGCUCGUCUGCCUGCAUCCUGCCGUGCUCUCCGGCUUCCCAGCAGGUUUGUGCAGGCUCGGGUGCAGCGUGGGGCUGCUUUGCCUCCUCUGCUGCAUGGCACGGGCUCCUCAAAUGCUCAUCCCUAAGCUGCAGCUGCUGGGCUCGCUGUUUGCUCUCCCCAUCCAGACGAGGCGUGCUGGAUGCGUUGGCUGCACGCACAGGACGAAAUCCUGCGCUCCUCUGCGACACCGGGACAGGGACAGCAGCCCGGCACCACAUGCUCUGAGAGCUUGUGCGAGGGGAGAUAAGAGCUCAGCAGUGCUCGUGCUGCUCUGGUGUCUGUUUGCGGUUGCUGAAACUUAAAUAUUUGUUCCUGGUUCCAAUUUAUCUCUCUUAAUGGAUCUCGAUUUCAGAAGUGCAGUUCCUCGUGCAGUAUUGGCCUCCUGCUCUCUUCUUGGUCGUUACCCCAUCGGACACAACAGGGGUUUUUUAAAUCAGCUGCUGUCAGAGCAGUUUCUCAACCAAGAGGCCUGGGCAGCUUUUGCUGGAGGCCUGGCAUGCUGCAGCAGCCUCGGACACAGCCGUGCUCGGGGACAAAGCCCCCGUCCCACCUGCUGGCACUUCCCAUUCCCUGGUGCCUUCUGGAGAUCUGUGCCACUCUCCCAUCUCCGUGGAGUCUCCUUGAGGCUGCUGGGGCUGGAGGAGAUGCUGAGCACCCAGCACCGGCUCGCUGGCAGCGGCACGCGCACGUCGGGGGGGAAAAUUCCAGGGUUUUAAUGAGCAAAUUGAAUGCAGUGUCCUGCUGCUUUGGGCAGAUUUCCACAUCGAUCCUUAAUCCAUUUUCAUAGCCGCUCUCGGGGGCGGCGUGUGUUUGUCUGCUACGGCCCCGUCACAGCAGCGUCCCUGCCCCGCUGCGGGGUGCCUGUGCUGGCGGUGCUGUGGGGGGAGCGGCUGGGGCAGGGGCUCCCCGGGGCUCUGCAGAGCGGAUUUGGGGCCUCUCCUCGGCGUGGGUCUUUCCUUGGCACGAGCCCGGCCGGACCCCACACGCGGCCGCGGCUGGCACACCAAAGCCCUGGCAGCGCAGCCGGCCCUGGCCGUAACGGAGCUGGCCGUGUGGCGGCCCUGGCAGCCCUGCAGCCCGCAGCUCAGCCAUUACCGCCGCUAAUUAACUCGGCGAGUGCCCCGGCCGUCAGUGGUCGGGUUUGAUGUAUGCUCUCUAAUGCAAUUGUUUCCCCCUUCCGCAGGAACUCGCCCUCCCGGUUAUUGGCGCGGGUGCAGGCGGGUGGGAUGCUGCUGCCUUCAGAGCGCACUAAUGAUAUUUGGUGGUGUUUUUUUUUUUCUUUCUUUUUUUUCCCUGUUCUAGCUUAGAUGUGGAGAUGACAGUGUGGCAGUGUGGUGGGGGCCAGCCCCCGCCUGCCCCUGUGGAUGACCCCCCAGCAGCAGGGUGGGCACAGCCGCAGCCCGUGGCACGGGGAGGGGGCGCGGGGCUCUCCGGGGAGCUGCCGGGUCCCUGUGCCCCGGGGUUUUCUCUUCCCAGCCCUCUACAGGCAGCUGUGCUGUGCCACCCGGGUGUGCGCAGAGGGGGAUGCUGUGGCGGGGUUGUCAUUCGAGUCAGCAGCCCUCGGGGUGCCAGGGAGCCAGAGCUGGUUUCUAUUCCCCGCUGUCAGAGGGUUUCAGCAAGCAGCUUGUGAUUUGUCAGUUUAAUUGUGAAGCGAGUUAAUCCAUGUAUCCAAUUUAAUCUUUAAGGCUUUAAUUAAUGAGCUAAUGUGUGGAAAAGCUGCAGAGGCCAAGAGCAGGACAAGCCAGGACAGGGCUGUGCGUGCGACUGCUCACCCCGGGUUUGUGUUUCCCCACCCCGCUGCCCUCCUGUGCUGGGGAAGUCCCCAAACAGCAGCUGUGAACGAAGCGUCCCGAGAGCAGCGGGGUUUGGGGGAGCAGCGGGGUUUUUUUCUGCCAGCGGGCGCCUUCCUCCCCUCCUCUCUGCUUCCAAAAGGCAGAGUUUGUGCUGUGGUCACCGAGGUGGGACUGCGGGGGCAGCCAGCGGGGCUGUUGGCGUGUGGCUAACGCGGCCCCUAACUGAAGUAAUCUGCACUUGGUAAUUUCAUUGCCCCUGCGUCUGCAAGGUUCCAACUUUAUUUAUCUGACAUCCCGAGGACUAUUUAUUUAACUUACACGCAGCUUGUUCCUCCAACAAAGGCACUCCACGCAUUCCACUGUUACUCCCACUAGAAAACAUUUUAAUAACUCUGUCCAAGCCCUGUGAAAGGGACGCGUACGAACGGCUCUCCUGAAAUCACACAGAGUGACAGCAGAGCUGAGCUGCGUGGAUGGCUUUCCUGCCUGCUUCUGCGCAGCGGGUGGCCUGUUGCGAGUAUUACCUCCAUUAUAUUAAACUGCGCAAGAUUAAGAACAAACCCCAAGCAAUCCAACACGUCUCCUCCCUGCAUUCAGGGCCGGCAGCGUAGUUUGUGUUUCGGUACAUUGAAACAUGUUGUCUUUUGUCUUUGGCUGCUUAUUGUUCGUUAAAAAACCCAGCUGUGCCUUUUAAGGGAUAUGAGUAUGGCAUUGAAGUGUAGCUCCCCAAGACAGGCGCUGGAAGCUGGGAGCCUGGCAGCCCUGCUGCUGGGGUGGGCUCAGGCAGCCCCUCCGCCCGGCACCUGCUGGAGCCGCCCCGCGGUGCUGCCUGCAGCCCUGCCCUGUGGUGUCAUUGCCUUUUCCCACGCAGCCUGUCCUGCUUCUGCUCGGCUUUUUUUUUCCUUCUUUUACCCGAGUUUUGCUUCCAGCCAGUGCUCGCUCGCGGUGCUCCUUUGCUCGCAUUGACCCAAUGGUCCUGCGGCAGAUGAGCAGGAGCAUCCCAAGCCACCUUUCUGCUCCAAAUUCAGCUGCUCCAAAUUCAGCUGCACAAACUUUGUGGAUAAGUGCUCUACAAGCUGGAGGUGCUGAAAACAGGCACUUGGGAAGGCUUGGAAAUGCACAGGAAUGUGUCCCCUUGUCGGCACAUCCCACGAUGACCCUUCAGGCCACCUGCCUGAGCACGCUGCGGGUGUGCCGUGGCUCCGAGCCCUCCUCGCAGGGCGAGCUGGGGGAGGCUGCAGCACGGUCACACUGUGCCAGCACCAGCCCCGGACCCCGCUGAAACCCUGGGGACUCGAGCUUUUUCCCCAGCCUGGCCCAGCAGCACUUGGGUGCACACGCUCCUCGUUGCUCUUCUAGAUGGCAAUUAGUUUUACGAAUCCCCCCCAACACAAAAUGUAGGUCAGUCGUAAUUAGUUUGAAUCCUGCUGCUGCCAGCUUUGCUUUUAAUUAAGCUCCUCCAGAGGGGAGGCAGCUCACGAGGUGCGGUGCUGGAGCCGCAGCCCUUGUGGCACUCGUCACAUGCCUCGUGGUCCCCGCUGGCAGCGCCCGGUCACCCGGCUGUCACCGCUGCUGGCACUUCCCAGCCCGCAGCUGCACUCACGGCAUUGCUCACCACAAGGACAGGGGUGAGGAGCGGCCCUUCCCACCCGGGGGCUGCUGCGCCCUGCUUGCUCCGUGUUUGGGGUGAGCCGAGCCCCGGGCACGGUUGUCGGCUGCAAACCGGCUCCGGUUUGCGCAUCAGCUCAGGGCAGACCCGCUGCGGGGCGGGGAGCCGGCCAUGAGCUGUCCUCCUGGUCCCCGAGAUCCUCCUGCUGCGGGCAGCUGCAAGCUGUCGCCCGCAGGAAGUCACCUCCGGCUGCCAAUAGAGGUUUGCCGUUCAUCGAGCAGCGAGGUUUGCGCUAUGAAAUAUUCAGUGAGGACUGGCUGUCCCUCGCCGUUCGCUCGCGGCUGUGGUCGUUGCAGUGUGAUGCCUUCCUUCCCUUCCCAUCCCCUCUGCGGUGGGCAGGCUGCCGUCAGAAGCGGUGGUUGGGCUGGGGGCCAGAUCCUGCUCCCUGACUGCAGUGGGGCAGCUCUGGCUUGGCUGUACCGGCCUGUGUGGGGCCAUCGGGGCUGGCCAGGGAUUUUUGAUGGCAAAUCGGGCAUGAAAAUUAGAUUUCUUGCAGAACAGUAAGCCUGUACCUGCAGAACGGGUGUUAGUCCACAGAUCGGAGUGCUGUGAGAUGGCAGUGUGGGGCAGAGCAGCCAGCGCCGUGUGCUUUACAAGGGGUCUGUCGCUGCGAGGGGGAUGUCGGCAGUGGUGGACGUUAGGGUCCACAUUGGGAUUUCCCCCCUUUGCUCACUGUGCUCUUUUUUCCAGCAGAGGGGGCCCGUUCCCCCCGGGGUGCCGUUACACCACGGUCUCCUGCACCUUGUGCGUUCCCUCGAGCUGCCGUGGCUUUUCAGCUGAUGGCGCCGUAUUUCAGGACCAAAACAUUCUGCAAAUCCCCGACGCGGUGUGAGCGGUGUUUGCAGAGUGCGGCCACUCCAGCUCCUUUAUAUUCACCCUCAGUUCUGCAGACAGCGCGUGGCGCUGGCACCCUUGGCUGGACCCGCUCCGUUCCCCUGCCACGAACCAGGCACCCGCGGCCCCCUGCCAAGGAGUUUUCUUGGUGCCUUGCGCAGCGUGUGCCACCUGCGCCCCUUCCCCUCCCAGCCGUGGGCUGGCUGCCCAUUUUACCCCUUCCAGGGCCAUGAAUCACUCCGCUCCCUCAGCUCCAUCGCUGCCUUUGAAGGUAUUUAUAAACUGCGAUCGUCUCCCCUGUGCCUGCUUUAGCAGACGGUGUAAAUUUAGCGCGCUUGUUGACUCUGCUCCUCUCCUCCUCGUCCGCAUCCUUGCUGCUGGAGGAGUGUGGCUGUGCAGGAGCUGAGAUGUUACCUCGGGCCUGAUUAAAACCACCAAAACGCAGAGGCAGAGCCCUGCCAGCGCCGUCCUGGCGGGUGACGCCGAGCGCCAGCGUCCCGUGGCAUUGGGUAAUUGCGGCCGGUCGGCACGCGAGGCGCUGGGAUGGCCUCUCCGUGGGGGAGAGGCGCUUUGCAGAACUCUGCCCGGGCUGGCUUCCCGGCGCUGGGUGGCCGUGCCUGCUGCCGAGGCCACCUCAUGGGACCGCCGGAGGGGAUGGAUGCGGCACCGUGCGCCCCGGGGAGCUCCACGCGCUGGCUGCGGGCUUUGGAUCAGUCGAGAGCGCAGCAGGUGCCGGCUGCCCAGCCCAACCAGCCCCGUCACGCACCACUGCUUGGGGUUGUUUUAAUCGCACCCUAGUGAUUACUGUGCUAAUUUCUGUCGAUCUAGCAAGCAAAUUAAUCUCCUCUCCACUCCGUCCUUUGGGGCUGUUUGAUCUUUAGGGUUGGGUUUGAUGAACGUUUAGAGAGCCGCCUGCAGCUCGCGGGGCUGCGGUCGCUUGGUGUGCCGUCAGAGUGCGGCCCUUGUCCGCCGCCGGGCUCUCCCCACACACCUCGUGGUGCCCCCAUCCUGCACCGCUGCCGGCUCCGUCCAGGCAGUUGUAAAACGUUUCCUGUUGGCUCUGAGAAGCAGAGGAUCUGAGGAGCCGGCACUGCUUCGCUGGUGCCCAUGGUGUUGCAAACAUGCGGGUCUUGCAGCGCUGUCGGAUGGGUAAUGUCUUCCCAACCUGGCUUUGCUCCCUCCCUGCUGCUGGACCUCCCAGGAACCUGCACCUCGGCCCCAGGCAAGCACCGGGGGAUGGCACGGAGGGGCACGGCCCCUUCUGCUCCUCCCUGCCGGCCCUGCUGCUAAACACGAGCAAUACGGGGAAAAACAAACCGAGAGGGAAAGCGGUGCUUGCUGGGAGAAAAAUCAGUAAAAGUGGCAGGCAGAGGAGUUAUUUUUAAGUUGCUAACUGAAUAUGGAGUAGUUAGCUGUGCCUUUUGAAGGCCAUUAGGAUGGGAUGCUGGCGCUCAUUAAUUUAUUGCCAGAGGUGGUCUAGCCUGAGCCGCGCAGCACACUAAAUCAGCGGUGCAGACACAAAGAUUUAAGUAUCCAAAUAUAUGUAACUUGCAGCAGACGCAGGAAAUGAUCUUCUCACUGUGCCACCAUGCAAAUUACUCCAACAGGCGCUGUGACCAAUUUAUGCAAGUUUAAAAAAAGGGGGAGAGAAAAUCAGCAUAAACACAGCGGUGGAGCCGGUGCAGGCGCGGGGCAGCAGCUGCC